rnacentral:rRNA from 1 species
GACGAACGCUGGCGGCGUGCUUAACACAUGCAAGUCGAACGGAAAGGCCCUUCGGGGUUGUCGUGUGGCGAAGGGGUGAGUAACACGUGGAUGAUCUUCCCUGCACCUUGGGUUUAGCCUGGGAUACUGGAUCUAAUACUAAUUAGGACCACGAGCUGCAUGGUGUGUGGUGGAAAGGUAUUGCGGUGUGGGAUGGGCCCGCGGCUUAUCAGCUUGUUGGUGGGGGAAUGGCCUACCAAGGCCACGACGGGUAGCCGGCCUGAGAGGGUGACCGGGCACACUGGGACUGAGAUACGGCCCAGACUCCUACGGGAGGCAGCAGUGGGGAAUAUUGCACAAUGGGCGCAAGCCUGAUGCAGCGACGCCGCGUGAGGGAUGACGGCCUUCGGGUUGUAAACCGCUUUCGAUUGGGACGAAGCGGAAGUGACGGUACCGAGAGAAGAAGCACCGGCUAACUACGUG